rnacentral:misc_RNA from 1 species
ACACCCUCAAGCCUAGCUUGGUGUUGGGCGCCUGUCCCGCACGCGUUGCGCGGACUCGCCUUAAAGUCAUUGGCGGCGGUCGUGCCGGCUCCUCGCGCAGCACAUUUGCGCUUCUUGGACGCCCCGGUGGAUCAGCCAUCCAGCAAGCUACUUUUUAUG